GCAAAGUACACACCGCUUCAUCAAGAAAGAUGGAUUAUAUUCAUAAAAUUGUUCUUCUUUUGUUAAUCACAGCAAAACACAUGCAGAGGAUGAAGCAUUACGCCUGAACCCAGAGUUUGUAACGCUCCCAUCUGGCUCUUCAGUCUGUCUUACUUGUAAUUUCCACAAACUCAAUGGUUCCAAAGUCAAAGUUAACUGGAUGUUUAACAAUAUUAAUGACACAUCUGACCUUGAAAAGCUGCCAGUGUCCCAAAAUGAGGAAGACUACUUUCAUCAGACAGAUGGGGAAUACUGGUCCAGUCUGACAGUGCAAAACACACAUCUGAAUGACAGCAGAUGGUACUUUUGUGAAGCCAUAAUCGAUAUUCCUAAACUUCAGAAAAUCUUGAGCAAUGGGAGUCAAGUAAUUAUAGUUUCUGGUGUAGGUGUAUGGAUAUGGGUUUGUGUAGCCACAGGAAUGGCAGUUGUCAUUGCAAUUAUAUUGGUCUUUUGGAGGCGAGAGUGGAGGCGAAGGAUAUGCAAACAAUGGCGCAGGUGAGUAUUUCAAGCCUCCAGGUCUCGGCUGCAAGCAGAGUUGGAACUGCCACUUCAUCAUCUUCAUCAUAGGAAUAUUCUCCUAUUUUUAUGAUAUGUUCAUUAUGUUGCCAA